rnacentral:rRNA from 1 species
CCUACGGGUGGCAGCAGUGAGGAAUAUUGGUCAAUGGGCGCGAGCCUGAACCAGCCAAGUAGCGUGAAGGAUGACUGCCCUACGGGUUGUAAACUUCUUUUAUAAAGGAAUAAAGUGAGGCACGUGUGCCUUUUUGUAUGUACUUUAUGAAUAAGGAUCGGCUAACCCCGCGCCAGCAGCCGCGGUAAUCCGGAGGGUCCGAGCGUUAUCCGGAGUGAUUGGGUUUAAAGGGAGCGUAGAUGGGUUGUUAAGUCAGUUGUGAAAGUGUGCGGCUCAACCGUAAGAUUGCAAUUGAUACUGGCAGGCUAGAGUACAGUAGAGGUAGGCGGAAUUCGUUGUGUAGCGGUGAAAUGCGUAGAUAUCACGAAGAACUCCGAUUGCGAAGGCAGCUUACU